rnacentral:rRNA from 1 species
AGAACUUAGCAGAGAUGCUUUGGUGCCUUCGGGAACGUCUGAGACAGGUGCUGCAUGGCUGUCGUCAGCUCGUGUUGUGAAAUGUUGGGUUAAGUCCCGCAACGAGCGCAACCCUUAUCCUUUGUUGCCAGCGGUUAGGCCGGGAACUCAAAGGAGACUGCCAGUGAUAAACUGGAGGAAGGUGGGGAUGACCGUCAAGUCAUCAUGGCCCUUACGAGUAGGGCUACACACGUGCUACAAUGGCGCAUACAAAGAGAAGCGACCUCGCGAGAGCAAGCGGACCUCAUAAAGUGCGUCGUAGUCCGGAUUGGAGUCUGCAACUCGACUCCAUGAAGUCGGAAUCGCUAGUAAUCGUGGAUCAGAAUGCCACGGUGAAUACGUUCCCGGGCCUUGUACACACCGCCCGUCACACCAUGGGAGUGGGUUGCAAAAGAAGUAGGUAGCUUAACCUUCGGGAGGGCGCUUACCACUUUGUGAUUCAUGACUGGGGUGAAGUCGUAACAAGGUAGGCGUAGUGCU